ACGGCUCAGUAACACGUGGACAACCUACCCUUGGGUCUGGCAUAAUCCUGGGAAACUGGGUAUAAUUCCAGAUAGGUCACAGAUGCUGGAAUGCACUGUGGCCGAAAGCUCCGGCGCCCAAGGAUGGGUCUGCGGCCUAUCAGGGUUGUAGUGGGUGUAACGGACCUACUAGCCUACGACGGGUACGGGUUGUGAGAGCAAGAGCCCGGAGAUGGAUUCUGAGACACGAAUCCAGGCCCUACGGGGUGCAGCAGCCGCGAAAACUUUACAAUGCGGGAAACCGUGAUAAGGGAAUCUCGAGUGCCAGCAUAUAAUGUUGGCUGUCCAGAUGCCUAAAAAGCAUCUGUUAGCAAGGGCCGGGCAAGACCGGUGCCAGCCGCCGCGGUAACACCGGCGGCCCGAGUGGUAACCGCUUUUAUUGGGUCUAAAGGGUCUGUAGCCGGCCAAGUAAGUCCCUUGGGAAAUCUGGCAGCUUAACUGUCAGGCUGCUAGGGGAUACUGCUAGGCUUGGGACCGGGAGAGGUGAGAGGUACCUUGGGGGUAGGGGUGAAAUCUUGUGAUCCUCGGGGGACCACCAGUGGCGAAGGCGUCUCACCAGAACGGGUCCGACGGUAAGGGACGAAAGCUAGGGGCACGAACCGGAUUAGAUACCCGGGUAGUCCUAGCCGUAAACGAUGCUCGCUAGGUGUCAGUCACGGUGCGACCGUGAUUGGUGCCGUAGGGAAGCCGUGAAGCGAGCCACCUGGGAAGUAUGGCCGCAAGGCUGAAACUUAAAGGAAUUGGCGGGGGAGCAC
rnacentral:rRNA from 1 species